AGUUGCUAGAAGCACAAGGAGUGGGACAUUUGAAUUUAACUGCUUAAUGGACACAUAGGAAUAUUUUCAACCAACUGUUUUACAUCUUCUGUGUCAAGGAAAUACAUGACAACAUAAAAGCAUCAUUCCUGUGCAACGAGGUUUGUCUGCACCUUCUCUAUAACACAAGAUCAGUAAGGAGUCCAUGCACAAUAUCCAAUCUACCUAUGCUGUCCACAUUUUUCCUGAGCUUGACUGGUU